rnacentral:misc_RNA from 1 species
AACCUAGCACACCUGCGGUGUGUACCUGCGGAGGGAUCAUUAUUGAUUUUUAAAGGGGUGCUGGCUCUUCUGGAGCAUAUACAGUGCACUCCUAACAAAAAGCCAAUAUCCACCUAUACACCUUUAAUAAACAAAAAAAAACCUUGCCCAAGGGCUUUUUUUGUCUAUGUUUUUGUUUUAUCAUAAACCCCUGAUCUAUUUGAAUGCUUAUACAAACAAAUCAUGUUUUGUAACACAACU